rnacentral:rRNA from 1 species
AUACGUAGGGAGCAAGCGUUGUCCGGAUUUACUGGGUGUAAAGGGUGCGUAGGCGGCUAGGCAAGUCAGACGUGAAAACCAUGGGCUCAACCUGUGGACUGCGUUUGAAACUGUUUAGCUUGAGUGAAGUAGAGGUAGGCGGAAUUCCCGGUGUAGCGGUGAAAUGCGUAGAGAUCGGGAGGAACACCAGUGGCGAAGGCGGCCUACUGGGCUUUAACUGACGCUGAGGCACGAAAGCAUGGGUAGC